AAAUUAGGAAGCAUUCUUUUCUUUCAUAGGUGCUUUGGAAAGUAACUCAACAGCAAGGGUCUUCUUAUCGAACAAUAAGUGCAUUUAAGAUGUCAGUGCGUCUUUUUACAAUCCUUUCUUUGACCCUUGUCAUAGUGUCCUUUAUGUCAGCAGAGGUCAAUGCCAAAGGGUCAUGUUCUUAUGCCUGCAUGAAAACUCUGUUUUCCUGUAAGCGUCGGAAUGGAGAAGAGUGUUGUACUAAAUUUGCUGAAUGUUUUAUGUCCUGUGGGUUGUCAGCUCCACCGUGUGCUGGGAAACGUGGGAGCUGGAACAAGCGCUAUCAGGCUCCCAGGGGGUACGAUGAUACCGAACUAUAUCCUUACUAUUGAAUCUAUAACUGUUGAUGCACAGACAUUUCCUUUAUAUUUCAGUCAAAACUGCUUGUUAAAUUAACCAUAGUGAUGAACAGAGAAACUAGACGACUAAAAUUUGAUGCAAUUUAUGACAUAUGCACAAGUUAAAAGAACAAAAAGAUCCAUUAAUUUGUCUCCCUGUUUUUCAGUUGUUAUACUUAAUAUCUUCACAUCGAUUUUAAAUAAAAUUAUAUACUUGUU